rnacentral:rRNA from 1 species
UACGUAGGGGGCAAGCGUUGUCCGGAUUUAUUGGGCGUAAAGAGCGUGUAGGCGGCCAUACAGGUCCGUUGUGAAAACUGGAGGCUUAACCUCCAGACGUCGAUGGAAACCGUAUGGCUAGAGUCCGGAAGAGGAGAGUGGAAUUCCUGGUGUAGCGGUGAAAUGCGCAGAUAUCAGGAAGAACACCAGUGGCGAAGGCGGCUCACUGGUCCGGUACUGACGCUGAGGUGCGAAAGCGUGGGGGAGCAAACAGG